CAGCCGCCGCGGGAAUACGUAGGGUGCAAGCGUUAAUCGGAAUUACUGGGCGUAAAGCGUGCGCAGGCGGUUAUGUAAGACAGAUGUGAAAUCCCCGGGCUCAACCUGGGAAUUGCAUUUGUGACUGCAUGGCUAGAGUGUGUCAGAGGGGGGUAGAAUUCCACGUGUAGCAGUGAAAUGCGUAGAUAUGUGGAGGAAUACCGAUGGCGAAGGCAGCCCCCUGGGAUAACACUGACGCUCAUGCACGAAAGCGUGGGGAGCAAACAGGAUUAGAUACCCCAGUAGUCCCUGUCUCUUAUAC
rnacentral:rRNA from 1 species